rnacentral:tRNA from 1 species
GGGGAUGCAGCUCACUGGCAGAGCACUUGCCUAACAUGCAGGGGGCCCUGGGUUCAAUCCCCAGUAUUACAA